AAACAUAGCCUUUAGCCUACCGAGUAUUAAAGGUGUUGCCUGCCCAGUGAAAUUUUAACGGCCGCGGUAUCCUAACCGUGCAAAGGUAGCGUAAUCACUUGUCUUAUAAAUAAAGACCCGUAUGAAUGGCUAAAUGAAUAUUCGACUGUCUCCUAAAACUAAUCAGUGAAACUGAUUUUCCAGUACAAGAGCUGGAAUAAAUAAAUAAGACGAGAAGACCCUGUGGAGCUUUAGACUUUUAUUAAAGUAUUUAUGCAAACCACACUUAUAAAAAAAAUUUUUAAGUUGGGGCGACUUUGGAGCAAAACACAACCUCCAAGAAAGGGUACUACCAAAAAGGCUUACAGGCCAAAACAUUCGACCCAGUACUACUGACCAACGAACCAAGUUACCCCAGGGAUAACAGCGCCAUCUUCUUCAAGAGUUCCUAUCGACAAGAAGGUUUACGACCUCGAUGUUGGAUCAGGACACCCUAAUGGUGCAACCGCUAUUAAAGGUUCGUUUGUUCAACGAUUAAUGUCCUACGUGAU
rnacentral:rRNA from 1 species